CCUUCUAGCCACACAAGCACCCGAUCUCUACGGGUAUCCAUAUAAGACUCUGAUCUGAUCAGAAGUCUUUUGAUCUCAUCGGAGUGCUAGCUCUCUUGUAGAGAUUACAUCUUGACAGUUGAAAUUCUUUUUUUCUCCUAAGAUACUUUUAAAGAACAAGAAGAUGUAGGAGGAUCUUGAUCUCUACUCUAGAGAUCAUGAGA
rnacentral:lncRNA from 1 species